UUUUAUGAGAGUUUGAUCCUGGCUCAGGAUGAACGCUGGCGGCAUGCCUAAGACAUGCAAGUCGUACGAAGAAGCCUAUUGAAGAUUGAGUGCUUGCACAAGAUUGGAUUUAGAUACUUCUUAGUGGCAGACGGGUGAGUAACACGUAGGUAAUCUACCUCGAAGACUGGGACAACGUUUGGAAACGAACGCUAAUACCGGAUAAUUCGUAAACGGAAAACUGUUUAUGCUAAAAGGUGCUUCGGCAUCACUUCGAGAUGAGCUUG
rnacentral:ncRNA from 1 species